rnacentral:rRNA from 1 species
AUUGAACGCUGGCGGCAGGCCUAACACAUGCAAGUCGAGCGAGCGGCGGACGGGUGAGUAAUGUAUGGGGACUGCCCGAUAGAGGGGGAUAACUACUGGAAACGGUGGCUAAUACCGCAUACUAUCGGAUAACCCAUAUUGGAUUAGCUAGUAGGUGGGGUAAAGGCUCACCUAGGCGACGAUCUCUAGCUGGUCUGAGAGGAUGAUCAGCCACACUGGGACUUAGACACGGCCCAGACUCCUACGGAGGCAGCAGUGGCGGAUAUUUCACAAUGGGCGAAAGCCUGAUCGAGCCAUGCCGCGUGAAUGAAUAAGGCCUUAGGGUUGUAAAGUACUUUCAUCGGGGAGGCGUUACUCUAAGAAGAAGCACCGGCUAACUCCGUGCCCGCAGCCGCGGUAAUAC